UAUAGCUCAAGUGGUAGAGCGCAUGCUUGGCAUGCAUGAGGUCCUGGGUUCAUUCCCCCCCCCCCAGUA
rnacentral:tRNA from 1 species